UACGUAGGGGGCAAGCGUUGUCCGGAUUUAUUGGGCGUAAAGAGCGUGUAGGCGGCCAUGUAGGUCCGUUGUGAAAACUCGAGGCUCAACCUCGAGACGCCGAUGGAAACCAUGUGGCUAGAGUCCGGAAGAGGAGAGUGGAAUUCCUGGUGUAGCGGUGAAAUGCGCAGAUAUCAGGAAGAACACCCGUGGCGAAGGCGGCUCUCUAGUACGGUACUGACGCUGAGACGCGAAAGCGUGGGGAGCGAACAGG
rnacentral:rRNA from 1 species